UACGAAGGGGGCAAGCGUUGUUCGGAAUGACUGGGCGUAAAGGGCGCGUAGGCGGUUCGUUGCGUCAGAUGUGAAAGCCCCCGGGCUCAACCUGGGAACCGCGCUUGAGACUGGCACGCUAGAGUUCGGGAGAGGAUGGUGGAAUUCCCAGUGUAGAGGUGAAAUUCGUAGAUAUUGGGAAGAACACCGAUGGCGAAGGCAGCCAUCUGGACCGACACUGACGCUGAGGCGCGAAAGCGUGGGGAGCAAACAGG
rnacentral:rRNA from 1 species